rnacentral:rRNA from 1 species
GUUUGAUACCGGAGAGGGAGCCUGAGAAAUAGCUCCCACGUCUAAGGAUGGCAGCAGGCGCGAAAAUUACCCAAUGCAAGUAGUGAGGUAGUUAAGAGGCGUGCAAUUUGCACAAGUUAACAGUAAAGAAGUUAAUGGAAACUGGAGGGCAAGUCUGGUGCCAGCAGCCGCGGUAAUUCCAGCUCCAGAAGCGCAUAUGACCGUUGCUGCAGUUAAAAAGUUCGUAGUUUGAGCACAUGCUUGCGAGUAAAAUACAUUACUUAAAGAUGUAAUUAGCGCAACUAAUGUCUAGAUAGGAACAGGAGAAGGUGGUUGUAUUGGGUAGCGAAAGGUGAAAAUUGCAGACCUACUCAGGACAAACAGAAGCGAAAGCGGCCAUCUAGAAUGUAUCCGUUAAUCAAGAACGUAAGCUGGAGUAUCGAAAAAGAUUAGACACCUUUGUAGUUCCAGCUGUAAACUAUGCCGACUAGGUGAGAGAAAUAUUCUUGUGCCUUAGGAGAAAUCAAGAGUUUGUGGGCUCUGGGGAUAGUACGAUCGCAAGAUUGAAACUUAAAGAAAUU